UUUCCGGUUGAUCCUGCCGGACCUGACUGCUAUCGGAUUGAUACUAAGCCAUGCGAGUCUUUGCAGUAAUGCAAGGCAUACGGCUCAGUAACACGUAGUCAACUUACCCUAUGGACGAGGAUAAUCUCGGGAAACUGAGCAUAAUACUCGAUAGAUCAUAAUGCCUGGAAUGGUUUAUGGCUGAAAUGAUUCGUCGCCAUAGGAUGGGACUGCGGCCUAUCAGCUUGUUGGUGAGGUAAUGGCCCACCAAGGCGAUUACAGGUACGGGCUCUGAGAGGAGAAGCCCGGAGAUGGGUACUGAGACAAGGACCCAGGCCCUAUGGGGCGCAGCAGGCGAGAAAACUUUGCAAUGUGCGAAAGCACGACAAGGUUAAUCCGAGUGAUUUCUGCUAAAGAAAUCUUUUGCAAGUCAUAAAACCACUAGUGAAUAAGGGGUGGGCAAGUUCUGGUGUCAGCCGCCGCGGUAAAACCAGCACCUCAAGUGGUCAGGAGGAUUAUUGGGCCUAAAGCAUCCGUAGCCGGCUCUGCAAGUUUUCGGUUAAAUCCAUGUGCUCAACGCAUGGGCUGCCGAAAAUACUGCAUAGCUAGGGAGUGGGAGAGGUAGACGGUACUCGGUAGGAAGGGGUAAAAUCCUUUGAUCUAUCGAUGACCACCUGUGGCGAAGGCGGUCUACCAGAACACGUUCGACGGUGAGGGAUGAAAGCUGGGGGAGCAAACCGGAUUAGAUACCCGGGUAGUCCCAGCUGUAAACGAUGCAGACUCGAUGAUGCAUUGGCAUAUAGCCAGUGCAGUGUCGCAGGGAAGCCGUUAAGUCUGCCGCCUGGGAAGUACGUACGCAAGUAUGAAACUUAAAGGAAUUGGCGGGGGAGCACCACAAGGGGUGAAGCCUGCGGUUCAAUUGGAGUCAACGCCGGA
rnacentral:rRNA from 1 species